rnacentral:lncRNA from 1 species
GAUUUUGAAGAAAAUCACCAUAUCAAUAUGACAAGAAGAGCACUGAGACAUCUUGGAAACAACUGGAUGGCUGCUGACUGACAUCAGAUAACACAUGAAUUAGCAAAUGUAAACCUUGAUAAGAUUGUGUGUGGGAACGUAAGAAAAAACUGCAUGGAGCAGCAGCUGCGGAGCAAGAUAAGUGGCAUGAGAACCAAGGACACCUUCAGAAGAACGAACAUCUCACGGCUCUGAUUGGCUAAGCACCUGUGUGAACGGUUCAAGAGUGUUUUGCAGAAUGCUCUGUUAAUAUGUAUAAAUAGAGUAGUGCUUAACAAUAAAGCAGACUAAUAGCCUUUAACCACAUUGGUGUGCUGUUAUGUCUCUAGCGCGUCCUGAGAGUCCAGAGACUUCCCCACAUUUGGUGCCCGAACAGGGACACUUCGUGGGACGAUUCGGGGAAGUGGACAACGGCAGGACGGUCGCGACAGAGGUUGGCACCAUGUUGCGGUAGCUGGAUUAGGCACCGAUGUAGUUGCAAUGUACUGGAUACUCCAGGUGAUUGUUCUUUCAAGCUUCUUAGGAGUCUCAAUACCACUAUACCCUGGGACUCACAGGAGUUAAAUCUUCUUGGAACUCAAAAGAUCAGUAACACAUCUAAGGGAUGGAAGAAAACAUGUUUUAUGUUUGGAAAUACCAGGAAAUGUUUUUGGGGGUCCAUGUUACAUUGGUAAAUUCACUGUAUUUUCUCUCACUUUCCAGGACAUGCGUGACAUCCACUCUAAACUUAGCGCACGGGUAGCAUUAGCUGUCCUUAUACCGGGGGCUAUUGCUGGGAAUAGGUAUUACAACUAUUAGUAUAGUUAUCUGUGUUGUAAAAUGCUUACUUAACAAACUGUCCACUACUGUCUUGCUUGCGCAAAAGGAAAAAGGGGGAAUGGUUGUGCGUACUCCCAUUGCAGUUCACGGAACCCACAAAAAGAAUGGUGUCAGGAUGUGAAACGAUGAAAAAGACUGAAACCAGGCUUGAAACGACCAUGAACUCAUAGUGAUUGGGAUUGUGUGCUUCUUAUUAUUUUGUUUUGCUUUUAACUUGUUGUAUUGCAAGUAGCAGAGUAGUAACCGUUGUUGUGUGUUUUUUAUUUAUUUUUAUUUUUUUUAGCAAUAGAUUGAAUGUGAAUUAACAGGAUUUAAUGUUACUAAUGCUGAAAUCUAUGGAGAUAGCUACUUUAAUGUAUUAGUAGCGCUAAGACAAAACCUGGAAAGAAAUCCCAAGCAAAGGGAUGACCCUAUAUUAUAGAAUGAUUAACUCUCUUUCAUCCCACUUUUCAGGAAUUUAAAAUAUGAUUAUGCAGUACCUGAGACAAAUGCACACACUAAGAGAGUUAACCUUG